GAUGAACGCUGGCGACGUGGAUAAGGCAUGCAAGUCGAACGGGUUUAGACCCGUGGCAAACGGGGUAGUAACAUGUGGGAAUGUACCCAGAAGUCAGGAAUAACUUGAGGAAACUCAAGACAAUACCUGAUAGUCUCUUCGGAGUAAAGAUUUAUCGCUUCUGGAACAGCCCGCACAGUAUCAGCUAGUUGGUAAGGUAAUGGCUUACCAAGGCUACGACGCUUAGGGGAGCUGAGAGGCUGACCCCCACCAUUGGAACUGAGACACUGUCCAA
rnacentral:rRNA from 1 species